rnacentral:rRNA from 1 species
AGCUCCAAUAGCGUAUAUUAAAGUUGUUGCAGUUAAAAAGCUCGUAGUUGGAUUUCUGCUGAGGACGACCGGUCCGCCCUCUGGGUGAGUAUCUGGCUCGGCCUGGGCAUCUUCUUGGAGAACGUAGCUAUACUUGACUGUAUGGUGCGGUAUUCAGGACUUUUACUUUGAGGAAAUUUGAGUGUUUCAAGCAGGCACACGCCUUGAAAACAUUAGCAUGGAAUAAUAAGAUAGGACCUUUGUUCUAUUUUGUUGGUUUCUAGAACUGAGGUAAUGAUUAAUAGGGAUAGUUGGGGGUAUUCGUAUUCAGUUGUCAGAGGUGAAAUUCUUGGAUUUUCGGAAGACGCACGACUGCGAAAGCAUUUACCAAGGAUGUUUUCA